CGUCGGGGACGUGGCGCUGCGUGAAGCGGAAGUGUUAGCCGACACUCCCCCUCUGCCUCCGCUCUCGCGCAAGGCAUUCUGGGAGUUGUAGUUUUUUGGCCGGGAAGAGGAGAUCAGCUUCAGUGGGUUAAUUGCUGUUACUUAUUUAAACAAACCCCAGAUAACUAUCAAUCCAUAGCAGAUGUAUAAGUCCAGUAGAGACUAUGGGAAGAAAGGAGAAAUACAAGACGACUAAUCAAGAUGAUGGGAGACAUAUAUCCAAAAAGAAUAACAAAGAAUUGUAAGAAUUGAAAUAAUAUUUCUACUCAGAUAUAUAUUUUAUAAAGUUUAUUAGAAAGGGUCAACAAUCAGUUUAAAUCUCAUCAUUCCUAUAAGUCACCUGACCAUGUGGUCCCUAGCCUUCAAGUCUCUUCCUCCUUCCCCCUUAACCUUCCUGCUCCCUUCCCUCUUCUCUUCUCUUCUCUGUUCCCUUCUCUCCAAGAAGCCCAAAACCUUGACUUUUAUUGACAUACAGCACGUUCAGGCACACAAAGCUGGCGCAACUGUGUUAUGUCAGGAAUGUUUAAUGGACAGGUCAAGCUACUCAGGAGGGGGAGGGAAUGAACUUCUUUGACACAGAAUACUCUUAAGUAAAAGAGUAACUAAGCAAGAAAAGCUUGAUGAAAGGCAAAUGAAAGCUUGGACAGUAACUGCUAUGGUAUGGUCAGAGGAAAGAGAGACCAUUAUAGAAUGAAAUGGUCAGGAAAAGCAUCCUGAGUAAUAGAGGUUUCAAUGAAUGUUGGGGAGAAAUUUGAUAUGGAAGAAAGCAGAAGAAAUUCCAGGGGACAAAGUCCUGGAGAUAGGCAAAGAAACCAAAAUAUAGCAGAAAGAAUACUAGGUUUGGAAUAAAAAGACUUGGAAAAAUAAUUUCUCUAAGUUUGUUUUCUCAUCGAUAAAAUGGACUUUGUUCCAAAGGCCACUUUCAGUUCUAAAUUCUGUGAUUGUGUGAUAGUCCCUAUACUUGUCAUCUUUCUGAAUCAGAGAAGAUCAUUUCUCUUGAAAUCUAACAAUCUAAUCUAUUAAUUGUCCCCCUUGUAUGUCAUAAACAUUACUCAUUACCCUUUCUGCUCAUGUUGUUUCCUCUGUCAGCCUGGGAUUCCCUUUCCUCUCCUCUUUACUAUUCAUAUUAUUCUUGUCCUCUAGGCCUGACAUUUUCAUAAGUUACUGUAAAAUUGAGAUUUGAACUCUGGACUCCAUUCCCCAGGAGUCCUUGCUAGCUCCCAGAAUGCCCUCUAAUCUCACUGAAUUUUCAGGUGGGCUGAGAUCAAGAAGGGAUUUAACCUGAUUGCAAAGGCUUUUGUGCUCUCUUUUGGACUUCUGUUUUGGAGCAGACGCGGCUCUUCCAUGCUGUGAGAUUAUCUCGUCUAGGCCUCUCUGGCCUCGGCACAUUUUUCUUAUCCUGUAUUUUCUUUAAUCCUUAACUUUAAUAAACCUCAUAAAAUAUAAUACCUCUUGCAGAGAGAAACUAAUUUCUACCUGUCGCAGUCUCCUCAAAUUCCUAAAUUUUAAUCUUUAUAGUUGGUGACCUAAUGGGAGAAAAAGACUCUCAAUCUUCUGAUUCUUUUCUGAUCUUUAGUUCAGCUUUAAUAGCUAGUGCCUAGAAAUUUUUUUGAGCCACAUUUCUCUGGCCGAGUUUUUUUUACCCUUGCAAAGCUGCUGCUUGUUCCAGCCAUUAGAUAGCUCCCAGGCUCACUCCUGACCUGUUUGCUGCCCACCUGGUCCUGGUCCUGGCCUCGGCCCUGCCCACCCCAGCAGCCCGCUCCGGCUCUGGCUCCUGCUCCUGGACUCUCACCUGGUGCCCGCUCUCCCGGCCCUGCCUGCCUGUGUUUCUGCCUGCAGCCAUCCGCUGGCCACUGCCUGCCUGUUUAUGUGCCCCAGAACCACGAGCACAACCCCAGCUGGUUCAUCACUCAGAUCCUUGGAGCAGAUCGCUCAGGACUCAUUUCUACCAGCUGGUAACAAACUUGGGGUAUUGACCACAUGGGUGGAUCAGAGUGUAGGAGGGGAGAGAGAAAGGGAGAGGAAAAGAAACAGACUUUUAAGCAAUGGGCUGUUUAAAAGGAUACCUUUUGACUGUUCUGGUAAUUUCACUGAUUUCACCUAUGAGCCAGAAGAAAGAUUCAGCGCAAAGAUUCAACUUUAACUUUGAAGGGGCAAAUGGGUGGCACAACGAACUGAGAGCCAGGCCUAAAGACAUGCGGUCCUGGGUUAAAAUCUGGCCUCAGAUACUUCCUAGCUGUGGGGCCCUGAGCAGAUCCCUUAACCCCCAUUGCUUAGCCCUUACCACUCUGCCUUCUGACAAUAGGCAUCUAAAUGGAUAAUUAAAAACAACAAACAACAACAACAAAAAAAACAACCACCCAAAGAACUUUGAAGACAGAGGUUAUAUUUUAAGGCAUUUCAUACUCCAAUGGUUUAUAAAAAAAAAAAUCUCUGUAUUUCUAUUGCAUUUUUUGUUUAAGGUUUAACUUUGUGAUUUUAAGUUCCUAUAUUACUGGAUUCAAUAUUAUUCUGUUAUACUGUUCAUUUAAUGUACUGAGUUUUAAAAAUUCUGUUGUUUUCCCCCUAUAACUGUGCUGAACAAAUAUUAUUGUAAUUAAGCCCAUAUGAAAAAAAAAAAACAGCCUUUCUAUUUUGACUUUGUAAAUUGUCACAUAGAGGAUAGAUGGACUUCAGGACUGGUUAUAAUUGUAUAACAACCUUUGGAAAAUUUAAUAUGCUAAAUAUCUCAAAUGAUUUUAAGGGUUUUUGAUUUUUGUAAUUUUUUUUAAUAAUCUCUGGUUAUUUUUGCCUGCCCCUAACACAAGUUGUAAGGCCAAUUCUAGCUGAAGUGAAAUAUAAUUAUAAACCCCAACCUUCACACAUGUGAAUGGAAGUUGGAAAGUUAAUCUCAGGGCAUUUGUACCCCUAAAAAGCCUCCAAAAAAGGAGCAUCCCUUUAUUUAUACUCUUCAGCUCACUAUUUUACUUCCACCAGAAUGAUAUAUAGAUUUCUUGAUUAUGUUCUUAACCCAAGAUGAGUUUUACUUUGUUUAAAAAUAUGUUUAUUACCAAGGUUGAAAGAUUGCUAUGAUUGUAAAAACUUGUGACAAAUAUCCAUCGAUUCAUAGGUUUUAAAAAAAUGCCAUACAGCAACUUAUGUGAAAUAUGAAAGUGUUUGCUAUUGUAAUUAAUUGGGCUAUUGAGAAUUUUGGGGAUAUUGAUACUACAUAUUUGUACUACUGUUCUUUAAAAAAAAACCUUGUAACAUUCAUUUGCUCAUACAGCGGAUCAUGGCCACAUGAAGAGGAAAUGGAUCUCAUUUUUGGUGAGAAAGCCUUGUAUUCUAUAUUUUCUUAUCUGACACAGAGUGUCAAUGAUUAUAAGCUACAUUUAAAACUUUUUUAAAGCUCUUUUAUUAUUAUAUUUUUCUUGCAUGUGCAAUAUACUAUUUCAGUUUUUUUAUUUUUUUCUCUCCUUUUUUAUGCCACCAGUAUUAAGAUUUUCUUAAACCUUUUGAUUUUUCAGUACUACAAGUUUAAGAUACAUUUGCCAGUGCAUACCCCAAAAAAGCUUGUGACUAUAAAAAUGAUGCCACUAAUUAUUUAAAAAAUUAUGGGACUUUGCUUAAUGAUUCUGUCUGAUUCCAGAACAAGAUAUACACAACAGAGCCA